GCCACCUUAGCUCAGCUGGCCAGAGCAGCUGACUUGUAAUCAGCAGGUCAUCCGUUCAAAUCGGAUAGGUGGCUCCA
rnacentral:tRNA from 1 species